AAUACAUCGGAACGUGCCUAGUAGUGGGGGAUAACUACUCGAAAGAGUGGCUAAUACCGCAUGAGAUCUACGGAUGAAAGCAGGGGAUCGCAAGACCUUGUGCUACUAGAGCGGCCGAUGGCAGAUUAGGUAGUUGGUGGGAUAAAAGCUUACCAAGCCGACGAUCUGUAGCUGGUCUGAGAGGACGAUCAGCCACACUGGGACUGAGACACGGCCCAGACUCCUACGGGAGGCAGCAGUGGGGAAUUUUGGACAAUGGGCGCAAGCCUGAUCCAGCAAUGCCGCGUGCAGGAUGAAGGCCUUCGGGUUGUAAACUGCUUUUGUACGGAACGAAAAGCCCUGGGUUAAUACCCUGGGGUCAUGACGGUACCGUAAGAAUAAGCACCGGCUAACUACGUGCCAGCAGCCGCGGUAAUACGUAGGGUGCGAGCGUUAAUCGGAAUUACUGGGCGUAAAGCGUGCGCAGGCGGUUUUGUAAGACAGAGGUGAAAUCCCCGGGCUCAACCUGGGAACUGCCUUUGUGACUGCAAGGCUAGAGUACGGCAGUGGGGGAUGGAAUUCCGCGUGUAGCAGUGAAAUGCGUAGAUAUGCGGAGG
rnacentral:rRNA from 1 species